CGCAUGCUGUAGGCCGUAGACAGUAGCGAAAUUGAAAUAAUUCAUUUCGCUUUCGGCUACUGCAACAACCUUCUAAACUGGAAAUAUACGGCAGUUUUGGGAUACAAACGGAAUAUCUCAGGAAUAUUUAAGGUCGUAAAUCAACCAGCUAUAAACGAAAAGUAAAACAAGAUAGCAAGAUUCGCUUAUCAUUUUUUGGAAAACUGCAUUGAGAGAAUUGGUUUAUCAUGUCGUCGGUUGAAACCGAACUCUGUGCCAAUAUUUUCAAAUGUACUGGAAGAAAGGUACUAAUAAUUACAUUUUUAUAUAAUUAAAUUUGUUGGUAUCUUUUGUUAGUUCCUUAUUUCAUUAUAUAUUAUUUGUACAUCUUUAAUAUAAUUUUUUUAGUAUGGUUGAUGUGGAAAAUGUUGAACCAUCUAAUAUGCUAUCUGUGAAGUUAGAACGUGUUAGUUGUGGAGAGGAAAUUCAUGAAAUUAACGAAACUCCCACAGAAAUGCAAAUUGAAGAUUAUAUUUAUGAAACUUCCACAAAAAAGCGAAUGUGCUAUCCAGUUGAUGUUAAAACACCAGAAAUAAAAAAUAUGUCGCCAAGGACAUUAAUUACAGUGGUGGAAAUGUUAAAGGAAUCAUGUCACAAAAAUAAUCAAUAAAUAUAAAGUACAACAAUAUUGUCAAAAGAAAAAAAUUGACAGUUUACAGAACUUACUGUGUGAGCUUCGUACAAAGGGUCUCCUUUCUGCGACUUCAUCGGAUAUUGUACAGGUAUUGAAAAAUUAAAGCAUAAAAUAUUUCUACAAAGCCAGAAAAAUUUGAUUGUAAAAAUAAGCAUGGUAACGAUACUUUACUUCGCCAGUGAAUAAUUAAAACAAUGCUUGUUCGACCUUACUGGCCAGAUUUAUUUCAAUAAUUAAACACUACAAUAAUCAACACAUAUGCAUUUGGAUUGUUUUUUAAACGUUUACACUGUAUCUUUUGUAGAUGAUAUAUUUUGGCACAUGUCAUAAUUUAAGCUUGUGUUACAGGAACUAAUGUAAUAAUUUUAUACACUCGAUAAGGAUCCAAACCUGGAGUCGAAAUGUAGUGUUUCGUUAUUGAAAUAAACCUGACCAGUAAGGUCGAACAAGCAUUACAUUGUUAUAAAAAUAAACAUCUAAUUAUGUAUGCAAUAUGUAUUAUUACAUUUAAUUAUACAUUUUAACUUACAAAACUGAGCAGAAACGUAUCUAGAGCAGAAAUAAUCUGCCCUAUAUCAAAAUUGACAAUUGUAAAUUAGAAAAUAAGUUAUAGCUUUUAAGUUAUAGCUCUUAUAGCUUUUAAGCGCACCAAUAGCCGUAAUGUAGGCAAUUGCGAGUGCAAUUACCCAAAUUGUAAUUCUUUAUUUUAUCAUUGAGACCCAAUAAAUUUAUUACUUUUA